rnacentral:rRNA from 1 species
UACGGGGGGAGCAAGCGUUGUUCGGAUUUACUGGGCGUAAAGGGCGCGUAGGCGGUCGAGCACAAGUCAGUUGUGAAAUCUCCGGGCUUAACUCGGAAAGGUCAACUGAUACUGUGCGACUAGAGUGCAGAAGGGGCAACUGGAAUUCUUGGUGUAGCGGUGAAAUGCGUAGAUAUCAAGAGGAACACCUGCGGCGAAGGCGGGUUGCUGGGCUGACACUGACGCUGAAGCGACGAAAGCCAGGGAGGCGAACGGG